rnacentral:rRNA from 1 species
GACGAACGCUGGCGGCGUGCUUAACACAUGCAAGUCGAACGGAAAGGCCCUGCUUUUGUGGGGUGCUCGAGUGGCGAACGGGUGAGUAACACGUGAGUAACCUGCCCUUGACUUUGGGAUAACUUCAGGAAACUGGGGCUAAUACCGGAUAGGAGCCCUGCCUCCUUGUGGGGGUUGGAAAGUUUCGGCGGUUGGGGAUGGACUCGCGGCUUAUCAGCUUGUUGGUGGGGUAGUGGCUUACCAAGGCUUUGACGGGUAGCCGGCCUGAGAGGGUGACCGGCCACAUUGGGACUGAGAUACGGCCCAGACUCCUACGGGAGGCAGCAGUGGGGAAUAUUGCACAAUGGGCGGAAGCCUGAUGCAGCAACGCCGCGUGCGGGAUGACGGCCUUCGGGUUGUAAACCGCUUUCGCCUGUGACGAAGCGUGAGUGACGGUAAUGGGUAAAGAAGCACCGGCUAACUACGUG